rnacentral:lncRNA from 1 species
UCUCUUAUUCAUCUCUUUCUCCUUCUUCUUCUUCUUCUUCUUCUUUUUCUUUUUGAUCAAUGAGUUGAAGGUUGAUAAGUUGGCAUUGAUUAGGGAGACUUAAUCUUCCUUGAUUCAAAUCUAAAUCAUCUUGAUCAAUUGAUCAAGUGAAUGGCUUUGCAUUAAGGAUAGGUUGUCUCCUAAAUCAUGCAAAGGGCUUAAACCAAUACAAGAUCAAUUCUCUUCUCUUUUUUUUGGCAUGGCAAGUUGUUGGGACUUGGUUCACUAAUCAAG